rnacentral:rRNA from 1 species
GAUGAACGCUAGCGGCAGGCCUAAUACAUGCAAGUCGAACGAGAUUAAGAGGCUUGCUUCUUAUGAAAGUGGCGCACGGGUGCGUAACGCGUAUGCAACCUACCUUAAUCAGGGGGAUAGCCCGAAGAAAUUCGGAUUAAGACCGCAUAAAAACACAGGAUAGCAUUAUCCAAUGUUCAAAUAUUUAUAGGAUUAAGAUGGGCAUGCGUGUCAUUAGCUAGUUGGCGGGGUAACGGCCCACCAAGGCGACGAUGACUAGGGGAUCUGAGAGGAUGACCCCCCACACUGGUACUGAGACACGGACCAGACUCCUACGGGAGGCAGCAGUAAGGAAUAUUGAUCAAUGGAGGGAACUCUGAACCAGCCAUGCCGCGUGCAGGAAGACAGCCCUCUGGGUCGUAAACUGCUUUUAUUCGGGAAUAAACCUUUCUACGUGUAGGAAGCUGAAUGUACCGAAGGAAUAAGGAUCGGCUAACUCCGUG